rnacentral:rRNA from 1 species
CCUACGGGUGGCAGCAGUGAGGAAUAUUGGUCAAUGGACGCAAGCCUGAACCAGCCAUGCCGCGUGCAGGAAGACGGCUCUAUGAGUUGUAAACUGCUUUUGUACGAGGGUAAACGCAGAUACGAGUAUCUGUCUGAAAGUAUCGUACGAAUAAGGAUCGGCUAACUCCGUGCCAGCAGCCGCGGUAAUACGGAGGAUUCAAGCGUUAUCCGGAUUUAUUGGGUUUAAAGGGUGCGUAGGCGGUCGGAUAAGUUAGAGGUGAAAUCCCGAGGCUCAACGUCGGAAUUGCAUCUGAUACUGGUCGGCUAGAGGGUAGUAGCGGUAGGCGGAAUGUAUGGUGUAGCGGUGAAAUGCUUAGAGUUCAUGCAGAACACCGAUUGCGAAGGCAGCUUACCAGGCUACUUCUGACGUUGAGGCACGAAAGCGUGGGGAGCAAACAGGAUUAGAUACCCCUGUAGUC